rnacentral:rRNA from 1 species
GACGAACGCUGGCGGCGUGCCUAAUACAUGCAAGUAGGACGCAGUUGCGAACGGGUGAGUAACGCGUAGGUAACUGCCUAUCAGAGGGGGAUAACUAUUGGAAACGAUAGCUAAUUCCGCCUACUAGUAGAUGGACCUGCUUUGUAUUAGCUAGUAGGUAGGUUAAUGGCCUACCUAGGCACCGAUACAUAGCCGACCUGAGAGGGGGAUCGUCAACAGUGGGAUUGAGACACUGCCCAGACGCAUACGGUGAGCAGAAGUGGGGAAUCUUCGGCGAUGGGCGGAAGACUGACCAGGCGACGCCGCGUGAGUGAGGAGGGGAUUCGGGUCUUAAAGCUCUGUUGAUAGGGAAGCGGUACUGAAACAGAAAGGGACGGCUAACUACGUGCCAGCAGCCGCGGUAAUAG